AAAAGUGAAACGAGCACGCAGCAGGCAAAGCUGGGUAGUGAUCUGGCCACAUACACAAGGAGAUCCAGACAGGUGCUUCUGUGAUGCAGCGUGUGAAGAUGAUCCGUGGCACUUGGGGACAUGGGCCACCCUACGUAGGGCUUCUCUGCACGGAAUGAUGACUGAUGGGCCUUCACUGGGGAACACGACUGUUCAGAAGAGGCUUUUCUCCUGAGAGGCAUUAGGCCUUGACUGCUGGUCUAUUGUGGCCCCGUAUCAUCAGAGCUUGGGGCUGCGGCAAUAAAAACGGAGCAAAGAGCUAUUGUCUGCAUCUGGGAGAGGUCCUUGGCAUGAGGGACC